GGUUACUGCUAUCGGUGUUCGCCUAAGCCAUGCGAGUCAUAUGUUCUUCGGAACAUGGCGUACUGCUCAGUAACACGUGGAUAACCUGCCCUUGGGUCCGGCAUAACCCCGGGAAACUGGGGAUAAUUCCGGAUAACGCACAUAUGCUGGAAUGCUUUAUGCGUCAAAUGGAUUCGUCCGCCCAAGGAUGGGUCUGCGGCCUAUCAGGUAGUAGUGGGUGUAAUGUACCUACUAGCCUACGACGGGUACGGGUUGUGAGAGCAAGAGCCCGGAGAUGGAUUCUGAGACAUGAAUCCAGGCCCUACGGGGCGCAGCAGGCGCGAAAACUUUACAAUGCGGGAAACCGUGAUAAGGGGACACCGAGUGCCAGCAUCAUAUGCUGGCUGUCCGGGUGUGUAAAAUACACCUGUUAGCAAGGGCCGGGCAAGACCGGUGCCAGCCGCCGCGGUAACACCGGCGGCCCGAGUGGUGAUCGUGAUUAUUGGGUCUAAAGGGUCCGUAGCCGGUUUGGUCAGUCCUCCGGGAAAUCUGACGGCUUAACCGUUAGGCUUUCGGGGGAUACUGCCAGACUUGGAACCGGGAGAGGUAAGAGGUACUACAGGGGUAGGAGUGAAAUCUUGUAAUCCCUGUGGGACCACCUGUGGCGAAGGCGUCUUACCAGAACGGGUUCGACGGUGAGGGACGAAAGCUGGGGGCACGAACCGGAUUAGAUACCCGGGUAGUCCCAGCCGUAAACGAUGCUCGCUAGGUGUCAGGCAUGGCGCGACCGUGUCUGGUGCCGCAGGGAAGCCGUGAAGCGAGCCACCUGGGAAGUACGGCCGCAAGGCUGAAGCUUAA
rnacentral:rRNA from 1 species